rnacentral:rRNA from 1 species
UACGUAGGGGGCGAGCGUUGUCCGGAAUGACUGGGCGUAAAGGGCGUGUAGGCGGUCGACUAAGUCUGGAGUGAAAGUCCUGCUUUCAAGGUGGGAAUAGCUUUGGAUACUGAUAGACUUGAGUGCGGAAGAGGUAAGUGGAAUUCCCAGUGUAGCGGUGAAAUGCGUAGAGAUUGGGAGGAACACCAGUGGCGAAGGCGACUUACUGGGCCGUAACUGACGCUGAGGCGCGAAAGCGUGGAGAGCGAGC